rnacentral:rRNA from 1 species
UACGUAGGGCGCAAACGUUAUCCGGAAUUAUUGGGCGUAAAGCGCUCGUAGGCGGUUUGUCGCGUCUGCCGUGAAAGUCCGGGGCUCAACUCCGGAUCUGCGGUGGGUACGGGCAGACUAGAGUGCAGUAGGGGAGACUGGAAUUCCUGGUGUAGCGGUGAAAUGCGCAGAUAUCAGGAGGAACACCGAUGGCGAAGGCAGGUCGCUGGGCUGUAACUGACGCUGAGGAGCGAAAGCAUGGGGAGCGAACAGG